UACGUAGGGUGCGAGCGUUGUCCGGAAUUAUUGGGCGUAAAGAGCUCGUAGGCGGUGUGUCGCGUCGGCCGUGAAAACCUGCAGCUUAACUGUGGGCUUGCGGUCGAUACGGGCAUCACUGGAGUUCGGCAGGGGAGACUGGAAUUCCUGGUGUAGCGGUGGAAUGCGCAGAUAUCAGGAGGAACACCGGUGGCGAAGGCGGGUCUCUGGGAAGUAACUGACGCUGAGGAGCGAAAGCGUGGGGAGCGAACAGG
rnacentral:rRNA from 1 species